rnacentral:lncRNA from 1 species
AAAGAAGGAUGUGCUCUGUUAACAUUGUAAGUGAAUGCUACUUUAAUCUUUAAAAAAAAAAGAAGCCAAAGGGGGAAAAAGAAAUCACCCAUAAAAGUUAAUUAUGAAAUUAAUUAUAAAAUAUGCAUACAAUUGUGCUUUAAAAAGGGAUGUAGCUUUAAAACAGAGAACUAAUGCCUCCUUAGCCGGAGCUUGGAACAGACUCACGGCCAGCGAAGUGAGUUCAGUGGCUGAGGUGAGGUACCCCGCGUGGGGGCCUCAUAACCCAAUUCAGACUACUCUCCUUCCUGU